rnacentral:rRNA from 1 species
AGAGUUUGAUCCUGGCUCAGAUUGAACGCUGGCGGCAUGGCUAAAACAUGCAAGUCGAGCGCGAAAGUUCCUUCGGGAGCGAGUAGAGCGGCGAAAGGGCGAGGAUAACUUUUCUACGUACCCCAAGGUCGAGGAUAGCUCGGAGAAAUCCGGGGUAAUACUCGAUGUGGUGCUUCGGCAUCAAAGGCUUGCCGCCUUGGGAGCGGGGAAAGUCCUAUCAGGUUGUUGGUGAGGUAACGGCUCACCAAGCCUAAGACGGGUAGCGGGUGUGAGAGCAUGACCCGCCGCAUCGGGACUGAGACACUGCCCGGACUCCUACGGGAGGCUGCAGUAACGAAUCUUCCGCAAUGCGCGAAAGCGUGACGGGGCAAUGCCGCGUGUGGGAUGAAGCUUUUCGGAGUGUAAACCACUGUCAGAAUUCAGGAAAAAAAUGACCAGAUUCUAAGGAAGGGCCGGCUAACUAUGUGCCAGCAGCCGCGGUAAUACAGAGGGCCCGAGCGUUAAUCGGAAUCACUGGGCUUAAAGCGUGCGUAGGCGGAUGUAUAGGCAUCUUGUGAAAUCCCUCGGCUCAACCGGGGAAUUGCUUGGUGAACCAUACAUCUUGAGGCAAGUAGAGGCGGUCGGAACGAUAGGUGGAGCGGUGAAAUGCGUAGAUAUCUAUCGGAACGCCAAUGGUGAAGACAGGCCGCUGGGCUUGUCCUGACGCUGAGGCACGAAAGCGUGGGUAGCGAACGGGAUUAGAUACCCCGGUAGUCCACGCCGUAAACGAUGUACACUAGUCGGGGAGGUUUUGACGCCCCUCUUGGGCCGAAGCAAAGUGUUAAGUGUACCGCCUGGGGGAGUACGGUCGCAAGGCUAAACUUCAAAGGAAUGACGGGGGCUCACACAAGCCGGUGGAGCAUGUUGCUUAAUUCGAGCACGCGAAGACUUUAUUCCAGGGUUUGACAUUCCUCUAUUAGCGUCGAAGACGUCUACGCUUGGGUGGAAAGAUUGAAGUGCUGCAUGCCUGUCCUCAGCCUCUGCCUUACUUUCGCUAAGUUCCUCACGAGGCAACCCUGUCGUAGUGCUACACGUAUGUCUGAGACCUAGCGAACUGCGUUUCAACCGGCGACAAGUGUGGAGUAUACU